rnacentral:lncRNA from 1 species
GAGCUUCGUUGGGAAGGUUGAAGGAAGGAGUUGUCUCCCGUCCCGGCUUUUCGGUUUACUUAGUUGUCUGAGGUGGGUCUCCGCUACUAACGUUAGGGGUAGAGGCCCAUGCCAGUAGCACCAGUGGUUGGUUGCUAUGAGGUAACUCGCCCUGUUAGUCAUUAAUGGUCGGCUUAAUUAGUACCCUUUCGGUAUGUGUUGCGAACACUUUCAUUUUUAGCUUCUCAUCUUCUCUAGAGAAGCUAAACUCGAACGGAUAGAAC